rnacentral:rRNA from 1 species
UACGUAGGGGCCUAGCGUUGUCCGGAUUUAUUGGGCGUAAAGAGCUCGUAGGCGGUUCGGUAAGUCAGGUGUGAAAUCUCCACGCUCAACGUGGAGGCGCCACCUGAAACUGCCGUGACUCGAGUCCGGUAGGGGAGUGUGGAAUUCCCGGUGUAGCGGUGAAAUGCGUAGAGAUCGGGAGGAACACCCGUGGCGAAGGCGGCCAUCUGGACCAGCACUGACGCUGAGGCACGAAAGCGUGGGGAGCAAACAGG